rnacentral:miRNA from 1 species
UGCAAAUCUGUCGCAUCUGUAGG